UACAGGGGGUGCUAGCGUUGUUCGGAAUUACUGGGCGUAAAGGGCGCGUAGGCGGCUUAACAAGUCAGAUGUGAAAGCCCGGGGCUUAACUCCGGAAGUGCAUUUGAAACUGUUAGGCUAGAGUGCAGUAGAGGUUGGUGGAAUUCCCAGUGUAGAGGUGAAAUUCGUAGAUAUUGGGAGGAACACCGGUGGCGAAGGCGGGCCUCUGGACAGUUCCUGACGCUGAGGCGCGAAGGCCCGGGGAGCAAACAGG
rnacentral:rRNA from 1 species